GCUCCGCUGGCCUAGUGGUUAGAGCGUCCGCCUCGGACGCAAGAAGUCGGGGGUUCGAAUCCCGGCCGAGUCA